ACAUCCCCUGAGAAUUCUCUCGCCUGCCUUAGGCACUUAGGCUCCGGGAGAUUGCAAAUAACCUGCUUUCUUUCUGUUCCCGGGCUGCGUUCGGACUCCUGUCAGAUAGUAAAUCCUAAGUAAGGUACCUGCCAUCGGCAGAUUUGAGCUUUCUUCUUGGACACCUAAUACCCACAGUCCUCCAAGUGGGUCCUAAGGUGGCGUCGGACCCCUGUCAGAGAGUAAAUCUCAAGUAAGGUACCUGCCAUCGGCAGAUUUGAGCUUUCUUCUUGGACACCUAAUACCCACAGUCCUCCAGGCUCCGGUAGACUGCAAAUGACCUGCUUUCUUUCUGUUCCCGGGCUGCGUUUGGACCCCUGUCGGAUAGUAAAUCCCAAGUAAGGUACCUGCCCUCGGCAGAUUUGAGCUUUCUUCUUGGACACCUAAUACCCACAGUCCCCCAGGCUCCGGUAGACUGCAAAUGACCUGCUUUCUUUCUGUUCCCGGGCUGCGUUUGGACCCCUGUCGGACAGUAAAUCCCAAGUAAGGUACCUGCCCUCGGCAGAUUUGAGCUUUCUUCUUGGACACCUAAUACCCACAGUCCUCCAGGAAUGGAACAGAUAAGAAGAUACUGAAAUUGGACGGUGCUGCCGUGCGGCUGCCGCAGGACACCUUUAAUAUCCCUGUUUCUCAGGCUGUAGAUGAAGGGGUUCAGCAUGGAGGUGAUCACCGUGUACAUCACUGAGGCCACUGCAGCCUUUCUCGGGGAAGAUGACACAUCUGAACUGAGGUACCCUCCAAAGCCUGUUCCGUAAAAUCAGCAAACAACUGACAGGAUAACUUCAGGAAGUGGGUAUUAAUUCUCACGGUAUAAGUGAAGACAUUAAGCACCAGAGUUUAAGUAGCUUGAUCCACUGAAAGAGAUUCAACUGUGUGGAACCUAUGCCGUGGAGAAUUGCUUUCUGCCAUUGUUAUCGUCCAGCAGUUGCCGAAUAGCUCUGACCUGAGCAAAGCAGUGAAACGCGGUGCUGUUGAGUGGGUUGCCACUGCACCUUUUUCAACUACUCUAGUCUUGUGGAGAAAAUACCCCUUCUAAAUUUUUUCUUCAUUGAAUACUCUCCCUCAGCUCCAGAGUACCAUAUAGAGUUUUCUUGUAUUUUAGAGUUACUGUUUUAUCAAAGUUUACCAGUCUUUUGUAUUACAUUUCUCCUGUCUAAAUCGACUGUGUGGUUUCUACUCAUUAUGGAUAUAGAUUGAUACAAACUCAAUAAAUAUUUUUGAA
ensembl:lncRNA LINC01198 long intergenic non-protein coding RNA 1198